AUUGAACGCUGGCGGCAGGCCUAACACAUGCAAGUCGAGCGGAUGAAGGGAGCUUGCUCCUGGAUUCAGCGGCGGACGGGUGAGUAAUGCCUAGGGAUCUGCCUGGUAGUGGGGGAUAACGUCCGGAAACGGGCGCUAAUACCGCAUACGUCCUGAGGGAGAAAGUGGGGGAUCCUCGGACCUCACGCUAUCAGAUGAGCCUAGGUCGGAUUAGCUAGUUGGUGGGGUAAAGGCCUACCAAGGCGACGAUCCGUAACUGGUCUGAGAGGAUGAUCAGUCACACUGGAACUGAGACACGGUCCAGACUCCUACGGGAGGCAGCAGUGGGGAAUAUUGGACAAUGGGCGAAAGCCUGAUCCAGCCAUGCCGCGUGUGUGAAGAAGGUCUUCGGAUUGUAAAGCAAUUUAAGUUGGGAGGAAGGGCAGUAAGUUAAUACCUUGCUGUUUUGACGUUACCAACAGAAUAAGCACCGGCUAACUUCGU
rnacentral:rRNA from 1 species